UUAGUGUUGACCAAAUACCAUAUUUGGGUUCUCCGUGAUUGUUCCGCAUCCAUCUACGGUUCGAAAAUUCGAUCAACCGCACGAGAGCCGCCUGUUCUUAUGUGCAACGUUCGAAGCAGCUUGGUAUAUAUUAGUUUAUUUUUCUUUGCUUAACAAUAAGCACCUAGCUAUGCCUUGAAGAUUUGAUUUGAUCGACUCCAGGGGUUCCAACGAAUUAGUAUUUGGGAAGUUGUAGCAUUAGUCCAUGGGCAAAUUUUAGUUUUUGUUUUCUUGUGAAACUGCCGGUCGUAUUUGUUGGAACGGUCACCGGGUUUUCAAGAUAAUAAAAGGGGGCUGCAACCAUGAAAGAAAAAAUGGUUUAUAGCCGGAUAAGGCUUUGGGAAUUGGGAUCAAUAGGUCCUGGGUUCGAUUCUCAUGAGUUAUAGAUGGAUAUGAUCGGGUGGUUCCGCCGGUGGUACGUUGAUACUUGAGUGGUCCAUCAGUGAUCCAAAUUUACCGUUCAAAAAAAUAUAUAUAAGCUAAUGUGAUCAUCCUUUUAAUAGACAGUAUGAAGUAUUUAAUUUGGUGAUAUAUGGCCGUAAAAACAUUUAAGUAUUUUAGAAGAAGUUAUAAUAAUUAUUUGUCUCAUUGUAUAAUUGAAUUGCUAUGUAGUUUAUAUGCUACCAUUUAUUUAUUUGAAAAUCGGAUAUGGGUUAUUAGAACCAUCUAGCACCUCUGUAUGUUUAAAUCACUACUAGGCUAUCACCCGGGAACAUCCCGGGCUAGGAAAAUUUAAUUUUCAAUAAUCAAAAGUACAUAAAUAACAUUUUGAAUCUCUUAAGUUUCUUGUUUCCCUUCCCACCACAAAUUUUUUGUUUGGUUUCAUCAGCAUCCCAACUUUGCAUCCAUAUGUAUUCAAAGUUUUCAUAUAAAACUAAUUCCUUUUUAAUUCAUAAUGAGAUCUCUGUAUAAAAAUGUUUUCGCAACCCAUACGCCAGUGGUGGCUUUGAUGGUGUGCGGGGAGGACCUCCGCACAAGGCCCAAGAUUUCGAGGGGCACAUGAUUUGUAAAAUAAAUCCGAUAUAUGUAUAUGUUAAUAUUUUUUAAAAUAGUAAACACAUAACAAUUCCAAUAUAGGUCUAUUUACAAAUCGUUUAUCAUGGUUUAGAAUUUAGCUCACUUGGCAUUAGGUUUAUUAAGCCCGAUAAUAAUUUGAUUUAAAAAAAAAUAAUAAAACAUUACGAAAGGGCACAUUUCUUCAAGCUCGAACAGGGUACGUGAAUUCUCAAAGACGCCUUUGCCAUACGCCUAAGAAGACACGCCAUGGUGGAUGAAUAGCCAAAGGGGCCUAUUACCCAUAUUUUUUUUUUUUGGAUCACACCAAUUGUUUAAAUCAACAACAUAUUUCACCUCAUCAUCUAAAAUAAAUAACUAUAUAUGAACUCAAACUUUAUCAUAAUCACAAUAUUAUAAAACUAAGCUGUUAAAUGAGCAUCGCAUGUAAAAGAACUUGUAGAAUUUCUAGUUGUUAAACUAAACUACAUUUUUAAGUUAUGAUAAGCCAUGCCUUUGGAAUCAUUUUAAUAUAAUAAAAAGGAGCUAGUGGAAUGUUUUCAAUAUGCAAAUUUGACUGACAUUAGUAUUUAUUAAGAUGUUGAAAGCAAUUGCAUUUAUAUUUUCUACAUUCCCAUUACCUAUGAAGAGGGCAAGUAACCGUAGACCAAAUAAGGAAAACUAAAAGAUAAUAAUUAACCUUAAAAGGCUCGUUAUAAGUUUGAAACUCAAUUCCAGGUAUGAAGUGUAACCAUAGUGGAAGCCUACUGUUUUUGAAAGCAAUUAUAAAGCACCGGGAACAAAAUCAUACAAUAAGGAAAACAAACUCAAAGACGCAAAUGACCACAUGCAUGAUCAAAUAACAUUGGCAGUAAUACUAAAGCAUACAAUUUGCUUUGCUUCUUAGUUUCUUUAAAAUUCUCUUUCUUUACCUCCAUCAACGGCUUCCUCUCACUUUUACUUUCCAUCAAGAUUCCAACUUCAGGUUGGUAAUCAAAUCUUACCUUAAAGAAAAAAUGCAAGGAAACCGAACCUAGUUAUUAUUAAUACCCGAACCCGAAUACCCAUCUUCAGUUUGGCAAUCAAAUGUUAUUUUUUGGAUUCAACUUUACCCGAAUAAC
rnacentral:lncRNA from 1 species